UACGGAGGGGGCCAGCGUUGUUCGGAAUCAUUGGGCGUAAAGGGCGCGUAGGCGGCUGUUCAAGUCGGACGUGAAAUCCCUCGGCUCAACCGAGGAAUUGCGUCCGAUACUGUCCAGCUUGAGUCCCGGAGAGGGUAGUGGAAUUCCCAGUGUAGCGGUGAAAUGCGUAGAGACUGGGAGGAACACCAGUGGCGAAGGCGGCUACCUGGACGGGUACUGACGCUGAGGCGCGAAAGCUAGGGUAGCAAACAGG
rnacentral:rRNA from 1 species